AUGGAGAGGGCCCUGCUCCCCAGACCUUCUCCUCUAACCUCCGGAUCCUAUACAUCACGGGCAGAGAGGGUCCUUUGGAAAAGUUCCAUCUCACCGCGUGUGAACUAGGAUCGGCUCCCACAGUAUUGAAUGAGCCUUGAAUUUGAUGGCUUCUCCAUUUUCACAACCAACACCACGUGCAGAAGCUGACAAUGACCGAUGGGCUUUUUCAGGGGAUGUCACAGCCUGGGGGAAAGGCAGAAUAACGGGCCACAACAGGCCAAGCAGAAACCUGGAGAAGAUGGAAGGAUGGCGGUAAUUGGAAGGAGGGGCAUUGACCUGAGCACCCACUGUAGGAGGCAAGACCAGCCUCCCUGCCCUAGCGGGAGUGAAUACGGCCCCUCCCCACACACUCAGACAUCCCCUUGGUUCCUUGUUUGUUCUUCGGGCCGACUACAGAUGGGCACCCCCACUCCAAUCCAACAUCCCCAGUGACUCCUGCCUCCCAGGUCCACCCCCGUGGGAGGCCCCUACAGAAGCAAAACAUAGUCACCUUAGACUCUGGCAUACUGAGCCAGGCCCUGAUCCUACCUCACCUUCUUGCCAAUUUAUUAUUUAA